rnacentral:lncRNA from 1 species
GGUUAAGUCGCAGUCCAUUAGAGUCUUUGUUUUAGUUGCUGAUCAUUUAUCCUUCGUAUGUUCUUCGUGCCUCUUUUAUAUCUAAAAAAUCACCAACAAAAAAUCUCUAUAGCCUAUAUCAUCCUUUGUGUUAACUUUGAUCCUAUCUAGCUACUAGUUGUUGUUUUAUUUAUGACUUUAGUUGUGCAAAUGUCAUAAUCUGAUCCCUGUGUUUAGUUCUAUAUAAAAAAAGUGUGUCAAAAAAAUAGAAAAGAAAGUGCAAAAAAAGUGAAGUGAAAAAAAAGUUGACAGAGGUUUAGAGAGAAAGUCUGAAAGAUUAGUUGGUUUAUGUGCACAAGUGCUGAAAGUUUCAUAUCAAAUUCUGCAACCAGUUUGCUAUCUCUGUUUGGUGAAAUAUUUUGGUUAGGUCUAAUUGUAACACUUGCAUCCCAAUCAUACUCCUUGUUUGCAUAAAUCUGAAUUUUCUUUGUGCGUGUGUGUGAUCAUUUACUUCUUUUCAUAUCUUGUGGUCAGCACUAGGCACAGAACUUCUAGUUU